GAUUAGCUAGUUGGUGAGGUAAUGGCUCACCAAGGCGACGAUCCGUAACUGGUCUGAGAGGAUGAUCAGUCACACUGGAACUGAGACACGGUCCAGACUCCUACGGGAGGCAGCAGUGGGGAAUAUUGCACAAUGGGGGAAACCCUGAUGCAGCCAUGCCGCGUGUGUGAAGAAGGCCUUCGGGUUGUAAAGCACUUUCAGUGAGGAAGAAAGCCUUGAGGUUAAUACCCUCGAGGGAGGACAUCACUCACAGAAGAAGCACCGGCUAACUCCGUGCCAGCAGCCGCGGUAAUACGGAGGGUGCGAGCGUUAAUCGGAAUUACUGGGCGUAAAGCGCGCGUAGGCGGUUUGUUAAGUCGGAUGUGAAAGCCCCGGGCUCAACCUGGGAUGGUCAUUUAGAACUGGCAGACUAGAGUCUUGGAGAGGGGAGUGGAAUUCCAGGUGUAGCGGUGAAAUGCGUAGAUAUCUGGAGGAACAUCAGUGGCGAAGGCGACUCCCUGGCCAAAGACUGACGCUCAUGUGCGAAAGUGUGGGUAGCGAACAGGAUUAGAUACCCUGGUAGUCCACACCGUAAACGCUGUCUACUAGCUGUGUGUGCCUUUAAGGCGUGCGUAGCGAAGCUAACGCGCUAAGUAGACCGCCUGGGGAGUACGGCCGCAAGGUUAAAACUCAAA
rnacentral:rRNA from 1 species